GACGAACGCUGGCGGCGUGCUUAACACAUGCAAGUCGAACGGAAAGGCCCUGCUUGCAGGGUACUCGAGUGGCGAACGGGUGAGUAACACGUGGGUGAUCUGCCCUGCACUUCGGGAUAAGCCUGGGUAACUGGGUCUAAUACCGGAUAGGAGCCAUUUUUAGUGUGAUGGUUGGAAAGUUUUUUCGGUGUAGGAUGAGCUUGCGGCCUAUCAGCUUGUUGGUGGGGUAAUGGCCUACCAAGGCGGCGACGGGUAGCCGGCCUGAGAGGGUGGACGGCCACAUUAGGCCUGAGAUGCGGCCCAGACUCCUACGGGAGGCAGCGGUGGGGAAUAUUGCACAAUGGGCGGAAGCCUGAUGCAGCGACGCAGCGUGGGGGAUGUCGGCCUUCGGGUAGUAAACUACUUUCGCUUGGGACGAAGCUUUAUGUAACGGUACCUAGAUAAGAGGCACCGGCUAACUACGU
rnacentral:rRNA from 1 species